ensembl:snRNA U6 U6 spliceosomal RNA
GUACUUGCUUCGGCAGCACACACACUACAAUUGGAACAAUACAGAGUAGAUUAGCAUGGCUCCUGCGCAAGGAUGACCUGCAAAUUCGUGAAGCGUUCCAUUUUUUU